rnacentral:rRNA from 1 species
UACGUAGGGUGCGAGCGUUUAAUCGGAAUUACUGGGCGUAAAGCGUGCGCAGGCGGUUUUGUAAGCCAGAUGUGAAAUCCCCGGGCUUAACCUGGGAAUGGCAUUUGGGACUGCAAGGCUUGAGUGCGGCAGAGGAGACUGGAAUUCCUGGUGUAGCAGUGAAAUGCGUAGAUAUCAGGAGGAACACCGAUGGCGAAGGCAGGUCUCUGGGGCUGACACUGACGCUCAUGCACGAAAGCGUGGGGA